UACGUAGGGUGCAAGCGUUGUCCGGAAUUAUUGGGCGUAAAGAGCUCGUAGGCGGUCUGUCGCGUCGGAUGUGAAAACCCAGGGCUCAACCCUGGGCCUGCAUUCGAUACGGGCAGACUAGAGUUCGGUAGGGGAGACUGGAAUUCCUGGUGUAGCGGUGAAAUGCGCAGAUAUCAGGAGGAACACCGGUGGCGAAGGCGGGUCUCUGGGCCGAAACUGACGCUGAGGAGCGAAAGUGUGGGGAGCGAACAGG
rnacentral:rRNA from 1 species